UUUUGGACAAUGGGCGAAAGCCUGAUCCAGCAAUGCCGCGUGCAGGAAGAAGGCCUUCGGGUUGUAAACUGCUUUUGUACGGAACGAAACGGCCCUUUCUAAUAAAGAGGGCUAAUGACGGUACCGUAAGAAUAAGCACCGGCUAACUACGUGCCAGCAGCCGCGGUAAUACGUAGGGUGCGAGCGUUAAUCGGAAUUACUGGGCGUAAAGCGUGCGCAGGCGGUUCUAUAAGACAGAUGUGAAAUCCCCGGGCUCAACCUGGGAAUGGCAUUUGUGACUGUAGAGCUAGAGUACGGUAGAGGGGGAUGGAAUUCCGCGUGUAGCAGUGAAAUGCGUAGAUAUGCGGAGGAACACCGAUGGCGAAGACAAUCCCCUAGGCCUGUACUGACGCUCAUGCACGAAG
rnacentral:rRNA from 1 species